CAGUCGCCGCGGUAAUACGAAGGGUGCAAACGUUAAUCGGAAUUACUGGGCGUAAAGCGUGCGUAGGCGGUUUGUUAAGUCUGUUGUGAAAUCCCCGGGCUCAACCUGGGAAUGGCAAUGGAUACUGGCAAGCUAGAGUGUGUCAGAGGAUGGUGGAAUUCCCGGUGUAGCGGUGAAAUGCGUAGAGAUCGGGAGGAACAUCAGUGGCGAAGGCGGCCAUCUGGGACAACACUGACGCUGAGGCACGAAAGCGUGGGGAGCAAACAGGAUUAGAUACCCCUGUAGUCCCUGUCUCUUAUAC
rnacentral:rRNA from 1 species